GUGUACAUAUCCGCUGUAGAACAAAUUCAAUUGCUUCAUCUGCUUAUUUUCAUCAUGAGCCUUCAGAAAACAGGUUUUUCCAGGAUUUCGCUACCCUGUGUGCCACAUGUGCACUGCACAGGUACUCUAUUUUCAAAAAUGCAAACAUAUUCAAUAUCAAAAUAUAACAAAAACAAGCAAGAAGAAGAUCUUAAACAAAUAUUCGCGCACAUGUGACGGGAGCCAUGUGAUAUCCCUGCAUAGUUUUCACCUAUAAAUUUAUGCCGUUACGAAACCAUCCCCCCCACCUCUUGAAAAAUGUUGGAAAUCGGACGAGGAAGACAAGGUUAAAGCCGUUUUGUUAAUAUUAAUGGUUUUUCGACAGCGUAUACGCUUAAUAUUGCAACAAACGAGUCCAGUGACAAUGAGUGCCGUUAAAAAGCAAACCAAUUGAUUAAAAAUAAUAGUGUUAUUGUUCAACAUUUAAACAUUUGAAUGCAAACGUCGUAACUUGCAUACAAAUUUUCAUUAGGUAAAGAUUUUUUUAAAGAUUUUUUCUUCUCGGUGUUUAAUGUUGGCCAACUUUAAUUACCUUGGACAUAAAAAGAAUUCGAAAUUUGUAAAAGCUUAAUUUAAUGUUUUGAACUUACCUGUAUUUUUUUUAAACGGUAAAAUUCUUCUCUCUCAAGUUCAUCCAAUUCUGAAAUAAUGUACGCUAAUGUGCGAUCGAUUCUUGGAAUUAUCACUGAAAUAAAAAAAUAUUUGCAUAU